UCCUUCAAGACAGUAUCUCACUAAGUACCCCAGCUGCCCGGAACUUACCUUGUAGGCCAGGCUGGUCUUGAAUUCCCAGAGAUUCACAGCUUAGUCUUAUAGGAAGAAAAUUCAGGUUAGGCCACAGAAGUUAGAGGUGAGCGUGCAGUGUUCUAAGUGAUAACCAUGUGAAAACAAGCUUCCCAUAAGAAUUUGCUUUUGAGAAAAAAGAAAAAAACGAGAAAGGUCUGUUUGUGCAGCGUAUUUGACACUGACCUCUACCUCUGAGUGACUUUGGGGUUGUAGUUCUGAAGAUCUCCUUUCGUUUAAGCUACCCCCUCCUCCACCAUUGGUUGUGCGUUUGCAUAUGCUUCAAGUUUGUGGUGAGGUUCAGUGGGGCCUGAAUCGAUGCCCAGGAACUCUGGGCUGACGCAACUUGUAUCUGCUGCCUAUCACUGGGGGGAAGGCGAAAAGAAAAGGCUGCGGGAAGGUUUUGUUUGAGGGAGGGAUGACAAGAAAGACUUUUCUCUCAUCCCUCAGCUUCUAGGAAAGAGUCUUCUGCCUUCCUCAAAACCUGUGGAGUUCAUCCUACCCCCAAAUCACUGAGGAGUUCCUCCCACCUCCAGUCCUGAGCACUUUGUCUCCAUGAUGCACCCCUCUUGCUUUCUGUUCCUGGUCCUGAAAAACCCCACUUAGUUGAUCUGGUUAUGGGACACCAUAAUUUCUAUCAGCUGUGCUUCUCGAGGUUGGGAUCCAGUGUCCCAGCACUCAAUAGAAGACAACGCCCACAAACUCCUGAAUGCUGGCAGAAGGACCACACUGAAUGAAAGACUGGGAAAGGACAAUGUUUAGUUCUGGUCCGCUAUUUGGCCAAAGAGAGGUGGCUAAACCAUGUGUCUCAGUGUGGUCCAACACAUAUGUUCACAACAGGGAAGCAGAGCGAACAGAAGGUGAAGCUUGAUUCGCAGUAAGAAGUCAGGACACCGCGCUUCCUGGGCCAGAGCAGCCCAUGUUGCACCUGGUAAGUGUGGAGACUGGUUCAGAGAGCCAGGGAAAGGUUACACACAGGAAGGCACUUUAGGAAACCUCCCUUCCUCCACCCUGCCUGCUGGCACCCCUUCAACUCAGCCCUCUGCAGCAGAGUUGAGCUCAGUGGUUCCCAAUGGAACCGUCACUGACAUUUGAACUUGGGAAAUUUUUGCAAACAAAUUGUGCAGCCAGUGACUCUGGCACAAGGCAAUAAAUUGCACACAAUAAAUACUUUCAUGGGUUUCUGCCCAAGUCUAGCGGUUCAAACGUGUCGGAUUUAUAGCCAAUUUAGAUUAGCAAGGACAAGGAAUUUAAGGAUAAUGCAGUUAAUAAAAAAGAAAAUUGCAAACACCUUUUUAAACAAUUACACCUCCAACUUUCUCCCUUACUAGGGCCCUCCCAAAGCUCCUCAGGUUUUGAGAAACCACCUCACCUCCCAUAAUGGUUGUAAAUAAAAGGUAAUGCCCAUCUUGAGGUUUUCUAGGUUUUCAUUUACUGUCGUCUCUGGUGGACAUGCUGAACCAGUUAAUUUUCAUGCAGAGGCUAGAAUCUGAGCACGAGGCCCACAGGCCCUUGGGUUCUGCUUUCUCCUGUGUUAUGGGCUUAAACUUGAGGUUCUCAGCUGGGGUUGGGGUGUCAUAAAAUGACCCUUUCACCUAAGUGUCAUCUAAGACGAAGGGAAAACA
rnacentral:sRNA from 1 species